rnacentral:rRNA from 1 species
UGGGGAAUAUUGGACAAUGGGGGGAACCCUGAUCCAGCCAUGCCGCGUGUGUGAAGAAGGCCUUAUGGUUGUAAAGCACUUUAAGCGAGGAGGAGGCUCCUGUAGUUAAUACCUACAGAGAGUGGACGUUACUCGCAGAAUAAGCACCGGCUAACUCUGUGCCAGCAGCCGCGGUAAUACAGAGGGUGCGAGCGUUAAUCGGAUUUACUGGGCGUAAAGCGUGCGUAGGCGGUUAUAUAAGACAGAUGUGAAAUCCCCGGGCUCAACCUGGGACCUGCAUUUGUGUCUGUAUAGCUAGAGUACGGUAGAGGGUAGUGGAAUUUCCUGUGCGGCGGUGAAAUGCGUAGAUAUAGGAAGGAACACCAGUGGCGAAGGCGACUACCUGGACUGAUACUGACACUGAGGUGCGAAAGCGUGGGGAGCAAACA